rnacentral:rRNA from 1 species
CCUACGGGUGGCAGCAGUGAGGAAUAUUGGUCAAUGGACGAGAGUCUGAACCAGCUAAGUAGCGUGAAGGAUGACUGCCCUAUGGGUUGUAAACUUCUUUUAUAUGGGAAUAAAAUGUUCCACGUGUGGGAUUUUGUAUGUACCAUAUGAAUAAGGAUCGGCUAACUCCGUGCCAGCAGCCGCGGUAAUACGGAGGAUCCGAGCGUUAUCCGGAUUUAUUGGGUUUAAAGGGAGCGUAGGUGGAUUGUUAAGUCAGUUGUGAAAGUUUGCGGCUCAACCGUAAAAUUGCAGUUGAAACUGGCAGUCUUGAGUACAGUAGAGGUGGGCGGAAUUCGUGGUGUAGCGGUGAAAUGCUUAGAUAUCACGAAGAACUCCGAUUGCGAAGGCAGUUCACUGGACUGCAACUGACACUGAGGCUCGAAAGUGUGGGUAUCAAACAGGAUUAGAUACCCUAGUAGUC